UACGAAGGGGGCUAGCGUUGCUCGGAAUCACUGGGCGUAAAGGGUGCGUAGGCGGGUCUUUAAGUCAGGGGUGAAAUCCUGGAGCUCAACUCCAGAACUGCCUUUGAUACUGAAGAUCUUGAGUCCGGGAGAGGUGAGUGGAACUGCGAGUGUAGAGGUGAAAUUCGUAGAUAUUCGCAAGAACACCAGUGGCGAAGGCGGCUCACUGGCCCGGUACUGACGCUGAGGCACGAAAGCGUGGGGAUCAA
rnacentral:rRNA from 1 species